rnacentral:lncRNA from 1 species
GAGAUAAACUUGAAGGAUGAGUCAAAUUUUCCAAUUAGGAAAGGAUUGAGCACAACUCUCCAUGCUAAAGAUUUCCAGGGUGGGAAGAAGCUCUCAACAUGAGCAAGCUGAUUUGCAGCCACCAUCCCUGCCAUGGGUGUGGGCACGACCUGACUGUCCUC